rnacentral:rRNA from 1 species
UACGUAGGGUGCAAGCGUUAAUCGGAAUUACUGGGCGUAAAGCGUGCGCAGGCGGCUUUGCAAGACAGAUGUGAAAUCCCCGGGCUUAACCUGGGAACUGCAUUUGUGACUGCAUGGCUGGAGUGCGGCAGAGGGGGAUGGAAUUCCGCGUGUAGCAGUGAAAUGCGUAGAUAUGCGGAGGAACACCGAUGGCGAAGGCAAUCCCCUGGGCCUGCACUGACGCUCAUGCACGAAGCGUGGGAGCAACAGGAUUAGAACCC